UACGUAGGUGGCAAGCGUUGUCCGGAAUUAUUGGGCGUAAAGCGCGCGCAGGCGGUUCCUUAAGUCUGUUGUGAAAGCCCCCGGCUCAACCGGGGAGGGUCAUUGGAAACUGGGGAACUUGAGUGCAGAAGAGAAGAGCGGAAUUCCACGUGUAGCGGUGAAAUGCGUAGAGAUGUGGAGGAACACCAGUGGCGAAGGCGGCUCUUUGGUCUGUAACUGACGCUGAGGCGCGAAAGCGUGGGGAGCAAACAGG
rnacentral:rRNA from 1 species